rnacentral:rRNA from 1 species
ACUCCUACGGGAGGCAGCAGUGGGGAAUUUUGGACAAUGGGCGAAAGCCUGAUCCAGCAAUGCCGCGUGCAGGAUGAAGGCCUUCGGGUUGUAAACUGCUUUUGUACGGAACGAAAAAGCUUCUCCUAAUACGAGAGGCCCAUGACGGUACCGUAAGAAUAAGCACCGGCUAACUACGUGCCAGCAGCCGCGGUAAUACGUAGGGUGCAAGCGUUAAUCGGAAUUACUGGGCGUAAAGCGUGCGCAGGCGGUUAUGUAAGACAGAUGUGAAAUCCCCGGGCUCAACCUGGGAACUGCAUUUGUGACUGCAUGGCUAGAGUACGGUAGAGGGGGAUGGAAUUCCGCGUGUAGCAGUGAAAUGCGUAGAUAUGCGGAGGAACACCGAUGGCGAAGGCAAUCCCCUGGACCUGUACUGACGCUCAUGCACGAAAGCGUGGGGAGCAAACAGGAUUAGAUACCCU